rnacentral:rRNA from 1 species
GACGAACGCUGGCGGCGUGCCUAAUACAUGCAAGUAGAACGCUGAUGGAGGAGCUUGCUCUUCUGGAUGAGUUGCGAACGGGUGAGUAACGCGUAGGUAACCUGCCUGGUAGCGGGGGAUAACUAUUGGAAACGAUAGCUAAUACCGCAUAACAGUAGAUGUUGCAUGACAUUUACUUAAAAGGUGCAAUUGCAUCACUACCAGAUGGACCUGCGUUGUAUUAGCUAGUUGGUGGGGUAACGGCUCACCAAGGCGACGAUACAUAGCCGACCUGAGAGGGUGAUAGGCCACACUGGGACUGAGACACGGCCCAGACUCCUACGGGAGGCAGCAGUAGGGAAUCUUCGGCAAUGGACGGAAGUCUGACCGAGCAACGACGCGUGAGUGAAGAAGGUUUUCGGAUCGUAAAGCUCUGUUGUAAGAGAAGAACGAGUGUGAGAGUGGAAAGUUCACACUGUGACGGUAUCUUACCAGAAAGGGACGGCUAAAUACGU